AACAGAACUUAGCCUGGAGCGUGUGUAACGUAAGUCAGCAGGUCUGAACCUUAGACUGUCUGGACCACCUCCUCAUCGCAGAGGUGGCGAUGCUGGGCCUGCCCUGCUCACACGGCUGAAGAGUAUCACUGGGAAGGAAGUGGGCUCGUGAGAUAAUCCAAUCCAGUGCUUCCCAGCCUUUAAUGAGAAAUGGUAAACCAGUGUGAGGAAGAGCACGGAUUCUGGAGUCAGACGGCCGUCCAGUGAUGGAAUUCUGGCUCUGCCACUAUCAGCUGUGAGUUGAGCAAGCGCCCUGAAAACUCUGUGACGUGGAAAUUACAACACGUGAGCACAGAGAACAGCACAGAGUGCAUUCCACAAAUGGUGGCUCUUGGCUGACCCAGACCCAGUGAGAGGCAGCUCUGCCCUGGCCCCAGGCUUUACAGGGCCCCAAUCCAGCCCCUACCCACUGGGGUGAGGACGUCACCUGGAGCUCAUGUGUCUUUCUGUAGACCACAUUCCAGAAAAGAUGUGGCUGUUUCUGAAUUGCUCCCCUCCAAGGACGCCUCUGCCCCCUCUCCGCCUGGCUGGCUUUGCAGAGGUUGAAGGGAAGACCUGGGAAGACACAUGCAAAUGAACCCCGCCGGGCUGCUGGGCAACGAGGGUGCUCAAGAUGCAAACUGAGCUGCAGCAAUAAAGUCAAAAGGAGGAGAAAGAAUGAAACGGUGGUUUUCAUCUUUAUCCCUUGUCGUUAGGCAUGGUUCUUCUCAAUCUAUUGUUAGACUUGAUUGUGUUUCCGUAUCUCUACUUGCCUUUCAGACGCAAUGCUCUUCACUGCUUAAAAUGAUUAGUAUAUUCCAGCAGCAAUUCCUACAGCAGAAGUAUGCCGCAUGGUGGUAAUUCUUUGUGUCAGAAGAAUGAAAUCGGGAGUUUGGGACAUUCCUGUUCAUAAAGUUACAUAUCCAUGGGUUCUGUCUCCUUGAUGAUUUUUUCUCUCUAGUCUAUAUUCUGACUAAAAUCCAGCAUGAGAAUUGUGUAAGCGAAUUUCAUAAGAAGAACAUGAGUCAUCUGCUAUGAGAAAUCCAAUGUGCCAUUUAAAAUUUACUAGAAAGGUCUAAAACCAGUGCCUUUCAAAUCGUGAACUCACCUGGGCUUGGUGGUGCG
rnacentral:lncRNA from 10 species